rnacentral:lncRNA from 1 species
GACGUGGCACCGACGUCGAACGAUGUCGAUCAACCCUUCGACGACGGACAGUAAGUUUUUUCAUUUAAUCCAUACAAUUUUUCACGAUUUCAUUGUACAUUGAUACAAUACCUAUUGAAAGGUUUAUUAAUAGAUCAAGACAACACCGGAUAUGCUGGCGAUGACUCUAGUAGUGAUGAUGAAUCUUCGUUAUUCAAUGCAAAUAAAUCACUCGGACAUAACUAUAUGAGUCAGGAUGAAUCAUAUAGUGGUAAUGUAAGUGUUGUGUACGUUGACUAUAAAUAAUGAAAAUAUAAGUUAUUACAUUAACACUUACAAUUGCUAUUGAAUUUAAAUAGGUGCAUGCUAUUGAUGACAAUGACGAUUAUGACAGCGAUGAUCAAUCUUAUGCUGAAAGUGGAACCCAGGUAUGUUUUAAAUAUGUUGUUGUAUUAUUACUAACAUACAAAUUGUAUUACCACUUACACUUCUGAAUCUGCACAGAGAAAUACCGAUGGUGACGCUGAGACGAGAACCUUACAUGAUGACAAUGAUGAGAAUGAUGACAAUAAUGAGGAUGAUAACAAUGAUGAGGAUGGUGAUAAUG